rnacentral:rRNA from 1 species
GCCAAUCAGCUAGCUCAUAAACCACAACAAAACAACAACAUUUAUACCCCCACAUAACCCUAAACACUUAAAUUAAACCAUUCACCACCCAGUACGGGCGACAAAAAGGAUUACACCGAAGCCAUAGAAAAAGUACCGCAGGGGAAAGCUGAAAAGAACUGAAAAACGCACUCAGCAUAAAAAGCAGAGACUACAACUCGUACCUUUGCAUCAUGAUCUAGCCAGCACCCCGAGCAAAGAGACCUCUAGUUCGAACCCCGAACUCAGACGAGCUACUUCAAGCCGCUAAACAGGGCAAACCCUUCUCUGUGGCAAAAGAGUGGAAAGACUUCAAGUAGAGGUGAAAGCCUACCGAGUCAGGUUAUAGCUGGUUGCCCAGAAAAUGAAUAGAAGUUCAGCCCCACAAUGCCCCACACCAAUUAUAUUUAUAUUACAAUAGGCCAAGGGCCAUUUAUGGGAGUUAGUUAAUAGAGGUACAGCUCUAUUAACAAAGGACACAACCUUCAACAGGAGGCUAAAGAAUAUAUUCACACCCAAGGCUUAAAGUUUUAGUAGGCCUAGAAGCAGCCAUCCAAACAAAAAGCGUUAAAGCUUAAACACUGACAAACCUAAUAUUAUAUUCAACUCUCCAACGCCCCAUCACAAUACUAGGCCCCUCUAUGCCUUCAUAGAAGAGACCAUGCUAGAACAAGUAAUAAGAAGAACGGACUUCUCCCUGCACAUGUGUAAGUCAGACCGGACUCACCACUGAUAAUUAACGAACCCAAUAAAAGAGGGCCUCACACAACAAUUACUUAAUUCAAGAAAACCACGUCCCACCCAAUCGUUAUCCCUACACAGGAGUGCCCAAACCCAAAGGAAAGGCUAAAAGGAUAAAAAGGAACUCGGCAAACUACAAACCCCGCCUGUUUACCAAAAACACCGCCUCCUGCCACCAAUCGUAUAGGAGGUCCCGCCUGCCCCGUGACUUUAACGUUUAACGGCCGCGGUAUCCUAACCGUGCAAAGGUAGCGCAAUCAAUUGUCUUUUAAAUGAAGACCUGUAUGAAUGGCAUAACGAGGGUUUAACUGUCUCUUUUUCCCGGCCAAUGAAACUGAUCUGUCCGUGCAGAAGCGGACAUAAAAAUACAAGACGAGAAGACCCUGUGGAGCUUUAGACACUAACCAACCAUAACCACAAUCGCUUACCAACUAAGCCCCAAACAAACUUGGUCCUGGCAUAAAUGUCUUCGGUUGGGGCGACCACGGUGAGAAAACAAAGCUCCCGAGCGGAUUGGGCACUCCCCUAAAACCUAGAACCACAAUUCUAAGUCUCAAAACAUUUGACCAAUAAUGAUCCGGCCACGCCGAUUAACGAACAAAGUUACCCCAGGGAUAACAGCGCAAUCCUUUCAUAGAGCCCAUAUCGACGAAAGGGUUUACGACCUCGAUGUUGGAUCAGGACAUCCCAAUGGUGCAGCCGCUAUUAAAGGUUCGUUUGUUCAACGAUUAAAGUCCUACGUGAUCUGAGUUCAGACCGGAGUAAUCCAGGUCGGUUUCUAUCUGUAACGCUACCCCUCCUAGUACGAAAGGACCGGAGCGAUGAGGCCUAUACCCCAAGCACGCCUCACCCCAACCUGAUGAAAACAUCUAAAACAGACAAGGGGGGCAAUCCCCAACCCAAAAGAAGGGUCG